rnacentral:rRNA from 1 species
GUUGGUGUUGAUGAUGAUGAGGGUCCACCUGUUCCCAUACCGAACACAGAAGUUAAGCUCAUUAGUGCCGAAGAUACUUGGCUGGAGACGGCCCGGGACAAUAGGAAGAUGCCAACA